rnacentral:misc_RNA from 1 species
UUAAGUUCAGCGGGUAUUCCUACCUGAUCCGAGGUCAACCUUGGGUAAAAAAGGCUUUUAACGGCCGGAACCCGCAGCACGCCCUGAGCGAGAUAUAAACUACUACGCCCGGUGUGACAGCGAGCCCACCACUGGUUCAGGGCCUGCGGCAGCCGCAGGUCCCCAACACAAGCCCGGGGGCUUGAUGGUUGAAAUGACGC